UAAAAACACAAAUGAAUCUGAUUCAUGAAGCUCCACAUAAAACAGACUGUCAGUCUGAGCCACAACCGCUUUGUGGUUCAUGGUUCGAUUGCUGGCUGCUCCAGUUUGCAUACCAGAGUAUCUUUUUACAAGAUACUGGAGGACAUCAAGUAGCUCUGCUGUGUUCAUCAGGGUGUGAAGGAGUGGGUGUGAGAAUGAAUAGGUGAAACGAUCCAACAAGAACUGUGAGUACUUAAAUAACCCAAAUGGCUGUGACACAGGCUUUUAUAUAUAGAAGGAGAAAAAUACAGAGAGGAAGCGGACGUGCUUUAUUUGCUGUCACUGAUAACAGAUGAGAAAGGGCAGAUUACUGAGAGGAACAAACAAGAAAAUGUUUCUGCUUCAUCUGUUCUUUCUGAUCUCAGUGCUGAGCUGCACAGCAAACCAAGCUCGUCUGACUGUGAGUCCCAGCAGCUCUCAGCUCUAUAAAGGAGACUUUGUGUCUCUGAGCUGUGAGGAGGACGACAGCUCUGCUGGAUGGACUCUGAGGAGAAACACAAGUAAAAAACAGAGGACUCAGUGUGGAGUCGACUGGGGAAAAAAGCAUAGCUCUUCCUGUAAAAUCACUGAUCUCUUUACAUGGGACAGUGGAGUUUACUGGUGUGAGACCAGAGAGGGUCCCAUCAGUAACAUGGUUAA